UACGUAGGGUCCGAGCGUUGUCCGGAAUUACUGGGCGUAAAGAGCUCGUAGGUGGUUUGUCGCGUUGUUCGUGAAAACUCACAGCUCAACUGUGGGCGUGCGGGCGAUACGGGCAGACUGGAGUACUGCAGGGGAGACUGGAAUUCCUGGUGUAGCGGUGGAAUGCGCAGAUAUCAGGAGGAACACCGGUGGCGAAGGCGGCUCUCUGGGACGGUACUGACGCUGAGACGCGAAAGCGUGGGUAGCAAACAGG
rnacentral:rRNA from 1 species